rnacentral:lncRNA from 1 species
AGGUCAAUUUAUAAAAUGAAAGCCGUAAAGAAAGACAAGUCCAUCAGCUUAAUUUGUUUUGUGGAUGAAUAAUAUUUUAAAGUUCUCAAGCACGAGAUGCCAGGAUGAAAUCACAUUAAACCAGAGCCCAGGCAGAGGUGAGAAAUGAAGUUCACCAUGACC